GAUGAACGCUGGCGGCGUGCUUAACACAUGCAAGUCGAACGAAGAUGCCGGAGUGCUUGCACUUUGGCAGACUGAGUGGCGGACGGGUGAGUAACGCGUGGGUAACCUGCCUUAUACAGGGGGAUAACAGUUGGAAACGACUGCUAAUACCGCAUAAGCGCACGGUAUCGCAUGAUACAGUGUGAAAAGGAGCAAUCCGCUUUGAGAUGGCCUCGCGUCCGAUUAGCUAGUUGGUGAGGUAACAGCCCACCAAGGCGACGAUCGGUAGCCGGACUGAGAGGUUGAACGGCCACAUUGGGACUGAGACACGGCCCAGACUCCUACGGGAGGCAGCAGUGGGGAAUAUUGCACAAUGGGGGAAACCCUGAUGCAGCGACGCCGCGUGGAGGAAGAAGGUCUUCGGAUUGUAAACUCCUGUUGUUGAGGAAGAUAAUGACGGUACUCAACAAGGAAGUGACGGCUAACUACGUG
rnacentral:rRNA from 1 species